rnacentral:rRNA from 1 species
UACGGAGGUCCCAAGCGUUAUCCGGAUUUAUUGGGUUUAAAGGGUGCGUAGGCGGGUUAUUAAGUCAGUGGUGAAAGCCUUCAGCUUAACUGAAGAAUUGCCAUUGAUACUGAUGAUCUUGAGUAUGAUUGAGGUGGGCGGAAUGUGUCAUGUAGCGGUGAAAUGCUUAGAUAUGACACAGAACACCGAUUGCGAAGGCAGCUCACUAAGUCAUAACUGACGCUGAUGCACGAAAGCGUGGGGAGCAAACAGG